rnacentral:rRNA from 1 species
CCUACGGGUGGCAGCAGUGAGGAAUAUUGGUCAAUGGCCGGAAGGCUGAACCAGCCAUGCCGCGUGAAGGUCAGUGCCCUAUGGGCGUUAAACUUCUUUUGUGCGGGAGCAAUAAUGGUCACGUGUGGCCAGACGAGAGUACCGUACGAAUAAGCCUCGGCUAACUCCGUGUCAGCAGCCGCGGGAAUACGGGGGAUGCGAGCGUUUUCCGGAUUUAUUGGGUUUAAAGGGUGCGUAGGUGGGGAGGUAAGUCAGCGGGGUAAUGCCCCGGCGCAACGGGGUGAAGUGCCAUUGAUACUGCCUUGCUGGAAUGCGGAUGCCGUGGGAGGAAUGUGUGGUGUAGCGGUGAAAUGCAUAGAUAUCACACAGAACACCGAUUGCGAAGGCAUCUCACGAAUCCGCGAUUGACGCUGAUGCACGAAAGCGUGGGUAUCAAACAGGAUUAGAUACCCUUGUAGUC